rnacentral:rRNA from 1 species
AUGAAACCAAAUCUUUGUCCGCCGGCCGCCUUGGGCCGUCCUCUCUUCGGCUCGCUGGUUCUUCUGUUCCGCGCCGCGCUCGCGAGACGCACCCCACACCGUGCGCCGGCGUCGCCUCACCAGCUCUCCAGCCGGCCAACCGCCGCACGGAGCUCUCGCGGGACAGGCAGACCACGCUCGGCCGCGAUGGCUGCUGCCGCCGCGCCGGCCUCCUCUUCUUCCUCCCCUGGCUGGGACUUCACCUGCAACUUUGAAGUUGACUAUGGAUCUGAAGAACACGCUUCCAUUGUCUACAAGACAUUAGCUGUUGACAAGGAGUUGCAGCCAGAUAAGGUCCGGAGGGAGAUGACUGUUUCUGGUGGCAAGCUCCUCGUGCGCUUUGAAGCAGUAGAGGCUCGAUUUCUGCGAGCAUCAUUCAGUGCAUUUGUCGAUCUUAUGGUGCUUAUCACGAAGCUUGUUGAAGAAUACGGCGUAAGCAAGGAUGAGCAUUCCUGA